UACGUAGGUGGCAAGCGUUGUCCGGAAUUACUGGUGUAAAGCGCAUGUAGGCGGCAGACCAAGUCGGCGGUGAAAGCGCCCGGCUCAACUGGGCGAGGUCCGUGGAAACUGGUCAGCUAGAGGACGGUAGAGGCGAGUGGAAUUCCCGGUGUAGUGGUGAAAUGCGUAGAGAUCGGGAGGAACACCUGUGGCGAAGGCGGCUCGCUGGGCCGGUCCUGACGCUGAUAUGCGAAGGCGUGGGA
rnacentral:rRNA from 1 species